rnacentral:rRNA from 1 species
UACGUAGGGUGCAAGCGUUGUCCGGAAUUAUUGGGCGUAAAGAGCUCGUAGGCGGUUUGUUGCGUCGGCUGUGAAAUCCCGAGGCUCAACCUCGGGUCUGCAGUCGAUACGAGCAAACUAGAGUGUUGCAGGGGAGACUGGAAUUCCUGGUGUAGCGGUGAAAUGCGCAGAUAUCAGGAGGAACACCGGUGGGCGAAGGCGGGUCUCUGGGCAACAACUGACGCUGGAGGAG